rnacentral:rRNA from 1 species
GUCUAUGGCCAUGCUACCCUGAACAAGCCCAAUCCUGUCUGAUCUCGGAAGCUAAGCAGGGCUGGGCCUGGUUAGUACUUGGAUGGGAGACCACCUAGGAAGACCAGGUGCUGUAGGCA